rnacentral:rRNA from 1 species
UACGAAGGGUGCAAACGUUGCUCGGAAUUAUUGGGCGUAAAGCGCACGUAGGCGGCAUUGCAAGUCGGAUGUGAAAUCCCUCGGCUUAACCAAGGAAGUGCACCCGAAACUGCAGUGCUUGAGUACUUAAGAGGAUCGCGGAAUUCCCGGUGUAGAGGUGAAAUUCGUAGAUAUCGGGAGGAACACCUAUGGCGAAGGCAGCUCGCUGGGACGUUACUGACGCUGAGACGCGAAAGCGUGGGGAGCAAACAGG